rnacentral:lncRNA from 1 species
GAAAAAGGGUAAAGGAAGAGUUUUCUUUCAGGUGCUCUGUGUUUUAUAGUAAGAACAGGCAAAGGGUCUGGAGAGUCAUUGAUGUCUCUUCUUAAGGUAGCUAUGGACUACAGAGUUGAUGGAUGGACUGUUAAGAGAAAAGGAGGAGGAGCAGUUGUGGCAAGGCUCACAGGAGCAAGCAAACUGAAAGUGAGAGGGAAAGCAAGUGAGAUCACGCAGGCUGACUUCAGCAGCAGAGAGAAGUAGCUCUGGAGGGGCCACUCCAGCCCUACGGAGCUGUGAUCACUGCAGUAUAUCCUGUUUAACACGUGUGUGUCCUUAGACCCAGUAAACUACAUGAGAGUUCAAUCAGAGGUGGAAGAUCAUGUCAUCUGAUAGGUUCCUCUUUCCACCUCUCUUUGGACAGUGAUUGCUUCUCCUCCAUUUCUCCUGCUGUGUGCCAUCUGUCCACACUUGUGCAAUAAGAUCAAUAUCCUGUCAGACUUCAUCAUGUGUCCUCUUUAGUAUCUCAUUGUGUAAAUCUGCAUAGCUGUAAAUCAGAUUUAUUUUUUUUAAUUUGAAAAAAUAAUAAUGAAUUCCUCAUCACAGCAAAGAUGUCGUUGUUACUGUGUCAGUCUAGCACAGAUAAUGAAGUCAAUAAGGGAUCUCUGUUAUGCUUGUAUCUGGCCAGAAAAAUUAGUUUUAGAAGUUAAUGCCACCAGGACAGUUGAGGAAAACAGCUGCAACAUAGGACCUGGAUGGUAAAGCUCAAGAGUAAUCAAGAUGUCUGUUCCAUGGGGUAGACUCCCUGUUAUACACACAUCCCUGGGAUACUGGAAACCUUUGACAACCGGAGCCUCACCAUUUCUUUUUUCCCCCUGAAACCCGGAUUUGUUAAAGUAAUAAAGUAGAAAAGUAAUAAAGUAAAAAAGUAAUA